rnacentral:rRNA from 1 species
CCUACGGGUGGCAGCAGUGGGGAAUAUUGGACAAUGGGGGCAACCCUGAUCCAGCCAUGCCGCGUGUGUGAAGAAGGCCCUCGGGUUGUAAAGCACUUUCAGUGAGGAAGAACGCCUGGUGGUUAAUACCCAUCAGGAAAGACAUCACUCACAGAAGAAGCACCGGCUAACUCCGUGCCAGCAGCCGCGGUAAUACGGAGGGUGCGAGCGUUAAUCGGAAUUACUGGGCGUAAAGCGCGCGUAGGUGGCUUGAUAAGCCGGUUGUGAAAGCCCCGGGCUCAACCUGGGAACGGCAUCCGGAACUGUCAAGCUAGAGUGCAGGAGAGGAAGGUAGAAUUCCCGGUGUAGCGGUGAAAUGCGUAGAGAUCGGGAGGAAUACCAGUGGCGAAGGCGGCCUUCUGGACGGACACUGACACUGAGGUGCGAAAGCGUGGGUAGCAAACAGGAUUAGAUACCCGGGUAGUC